CCCAGCUCUGCCCCGAGGAAGGUAGCUCUGUGCUGAACACCAGGAGUGAACGCAAAUCAAAAUCAGUUUCCUCUCAGACACCUCCUAGACAAGAAUGGAAGGAGUUGUACUCUUACCCACUGGGCUGUUUCCCUCACCCAUACCUUGGCCUCUCU
rnacentral:lncRNA from 1 species